CAGUGUCCACCCGCAACUUCUCACCAUUCCAGCUCCGCGGCAAACAUUGUCCGCGCACAUACUCGUGCGAGCAUACUCAUGCAACGUCGCGCUAGAGCAUUCGAAACAAGCAGAAAACAAAGGGCACCCACGGCGCUUUGAUGAGGCGCCGUGAGGCGGAGUCUGCAGCCCGCUUCUAUAUGGCGGGUAUGCUGGUGGGCUUGCUUGGCCUACUCCUCUCCUGCGGCUACAGCUUCGGUCUCUUUCACUCACCGGACGAGGUGGAGCAGCUAAACGCCGCUAUCCGCACCGUGGAGGGGAGACAGGUAGCGUUGCUGCUGGAUUCAGUGUUCUCGAACGGGGCCCGCUUUGACGGCAAGGGCCACAUACACCCUCUCUACGCGCUCGCGUGCGUCCAGGAAGAGGAGACGGAGGAGGCGCGGCGCAUGAUCCGCAACGUCGCGCGCCGGUUCCGCAGCGAGCCGAUCGACAUCGGCUACGCCCACCACCCCUUGACCGCCGCUUACCGGCACCACCGCUACGCCGUAGCGCAGGCGCUUAUCGAAGAGUGGCGGCGCCCCGCGCCUAACGUGAGCGACGAAGAAGCGGUCAUGGACGAGGUGUACGCUUCUUCCCUCACAGUGUCGGAGCUGCAGCGUGUGGACCCGAGCGUGCACGUGUACUGCCGCGACGCGGAUGCGGUACGAUGUCGUGCGCUCGAUCCCGAGCGCAUCCGCGACGCGUCGAACAGCCGCCUUGAGGCGGCCUACAGGCGGCGUUUUGGCCAAACACAGGAGCUGCCGACUGUGACGCCGUACCGCGACACAGACAUGCCAUCGAAGAUAGUAGCCCCCGCAUCGACGGUUCGGGCUGCGUUCUGGGACGAUCCGUUCCGGCCACUCGUGCCCGACCUGCUGCCCCCGCGCACCGCGAUGGUGAUGAACCCUGGCUACUUUGACAACGUGCUGGAUCAGCUCUCCUACACACUGCUAGGACACAUGGAAGGAUCGUCGACGGUGGUGGCGUUUGGCUUGUUCGCCAUGUGCACAAUUUGUUUAUUCCUCGGUACGUGGUGUGCAGGGGUGUCCUACUGGCUGCUGCACUACACCUGAAUACACACGCGCCAGCGCACACCUCUCCAUCUACACCGCCCACACUCAACAGCAAAGAGGCGACUACCAGCACGGUAGUGACGCAAGGUAUGUGGCCAGAGCGAGAGAGCUCAUUGCAGGAAAUAAAAAGCAGCAGCCGCACAGUGCACGCUUUCACUGAGGCGGCUGCCAUAUCUUGAGCCCAUCGACGCAACCGCAGCGUCCAUCUGCUACUGGCAUGGGAGACAAAGUCGCACACUAUCACAGGAAACGCCACGGGGGGGAGGGGUGUCGUCUUCAGCCUUCGACAUGCCUGUCAGAACUCGCCAGCGUUGUGCGUUGUUUUGAUUCACGGCGCCUCUCUUCUCUGCGCUCAUUGGCACUUCUUCUCCUUCCCUUUCUCUAUUCCGUCGCUGCUGUCUCCUGUUGGCUCAG
rnacentral:misc_RNA from 1 species